rnacentral:rRNA from 1 species
GUCAGGCGGGGCCACCCGCCGAGUUUAAGCAUAUAAAUAAGCGGAGGAGAAGAAACUUACGAGGAUUCCCCUAGUAACGGCGAGCGAACCGGGAUCAGCCCAGCUUGAGAAUCGGGCGGCCGCGCCGUCCGAAUUGUAGUCUGGAGAAGCGCCCUCAGCGACGGACCGGGCCCAAGUCCCCUGGAAAGGGGCG